rnacentral:rRNA from 1 species
UACGUAGGUGGCAAGCGUUGUCCGGAUUUACUGGGCGUAAAGAGCGCGCAGGCGGUCGUUCAAGUCGCGUGUGAAAGCCCCCGGCUCAACUGGGGAGGGUCACGCGAUACUGAUCGACUCGAAGGCAGGAGAGGGAAGUGGAAUUCCCGGUGUAGUGGUGAAAUGCGUAGAUAUCAGGAAGAACACCCGUGGCGAAGGCGGCUCUCUGGGACGGUACUGACGCUGAGGCGCGACAGCGUGGGGAGCGAACUGG